rnacentral:miRNA from 1 species
GGUAGUUAAAAAGUAUUAGAAUGUUAGGGUUUGUAAUCCAAGUGAGAAUAUAUACAUUCUCACUUGGAUUACAAACCCUAACAUUCUAAUAUUAAUUC